rnacentral:rRNA from 1 species
ACUGGGACAACCACUGGAAACGGUGGCUAAUACCGGAUGAGCCGAAAAGUAAAAGGGAAACCUGCCUUUUGAAGAGCUCGCGUCUGAUUAGCUAGUUGGUGAGGUAAGAGCUCACCAAGGCAGCGAUCAGUAGCUGGUCUGAGAGGAUGACCAGCCACACUGGGACUGAGACACGGCCCAGACUCCUACGGGAGGCAGCAGUGGGGAAUUUUCCGCAAUGGGCGAAAGCCUGACGGAGCAAGACCGCGUGAGGGAAGAAGGCUCUUGGGUCGUAAACCUCUUUUAUCAGGGAAGAAAAAAAUGACGGUACCUGAAGAAUCAGCCUCGGCUAACUCCGUGCCAGCAGCCGCGGUAAUACGGAGGAGGCAAGCGUUAUCCGGAAUUAUUGGGCGUAAAGCGUCCGCAGGUGGCUUAUCAAGUCUGCUGUCAAAGAGUGGGGCUUAACCCCAUAAAGGCAGUGGAAACUGGCAAGCUAGAGUGCCGUAGGGGUAGAGGGAAUUCCCGGUGUAGCGGUGAAAUGCGUAGAGAUCGGGAAGAACAUCGGUGGCGAAAGCGCUCUACUGGACGGCAACUGACACUCAGGGACGAA